ACUACGAAGAGUUUGAUCCUGGCUCAGGAUGAACGCUAGCGGCAGGCCUAAUACAUGCAAGUCGAGGGGUAUAUAAGUGCUUGCACUUAUAGAGACCGGCGAACGGGUGCGUAACACGUAUGCAACCUACCUUCAACUGGGGAAUAGCCCGAAGAAAUUCGGAUUAAUGCCCCAUAACAUUACAGAAAGGCAUCUUUCAGUAAUUAAAGCUCCGGCGGUUGAAGAUGGGCAUGCGGUCCAUUAGUUUGUUGGUGAGGUAAUGGCUCACCAAGGCUACGAUGGAUAGGGGGUCUGAGAGGAUGAUCCCCCACACUGGUACUGAGACACGGACCAGACUCCUACGGGAGGCAGCAGUAGGGAAUAUUGGACAAUGGGCGAAAGCCUGAUCCAGCCAUGCCGCGUGCAGGAUGACUGCCCUAUGGGUUGUAAACUGCUUUUAUACGAGAAGAAACACUCCGACGUGUCGGGGCUUGACGGUAUCGUAUGAAUAAGGAUCGGCUAACUCCGUGCCAGCAGCCGCGGUAAUACGGAGGAUCCAAGCGUUGUCCGGAUUUAUUGGGUUUAAAGGGUGCGUAGGCGGACUAAUAAGUCAGUGGUGAAAGCCUGUAGCUUAACUAUAGAAUUGCCAUUGAAACUGUUAGUCUUGAGUUUGGUCGAGGUGGAUGGAAUGUAUCAUGUAGCGGUGAAAUGCUUAGAUAUGAUACAGAACACCGAUUGCGAAGGCAGUUCACUAGGCCAAUACUGACGCUGAGGCACGAAAGCAUGGGGAGCGAACAGGAUUAGAUACCCUGGUAGUCCAUGCCGUAAACGAUGCAUACUAGGUGUUGGCCUUUCGGGGCCAGUGCUGCAGUUAACGCAUUAAGUAUGCCACCUGGGGAGUACGUCGGCAACGAUGAAACUCAAAGGAAUUGACG
rnacentral:rRNA from 1 species